rnacentral:lncRNA from 1 species
UUUCCUCGAUAACUUUCCUUCUCUAUUGUUCUAUUUUUAUCAAUAAUAAUAAUAAUAAAUGCCUCGUUUUAAGUAUUGUAACUCCCGAUCACCGCUACCCUUUCCGAUUGAUCUGAAAUCCAUAACUCAUGUCAGGGCUCUGCCCGACUAAGUUCGUUGGGAUUCUAUCUCGGGACUUCGGGACAAGGUUGAAUCAGGGGUAUUAUACUUACUACGAGUGCAUUAUAUAUUUUUAAUAGCUUAGAAGUUAUACCCAAAAUUUAUAUCAGGAGAUUUUCUAGUUGAACCCUAAAGUUACAAAGUAGGGUCCAUUCCCUUUUCUCAUCAUUUUAUUCUCUUUUUGUGAUUUACCCAAAACUAUUAUUUAUUAUUCUAUUUUGUAAACAACUCUCAUCAAAAGUCAUGCCUAUUAUUUUAUUUACCCGAUAGGAAACCCUAGUUGAGACACCCAAGUAAUCCUGCACCACUCCUAAAAUUUUCAGAACAAUCAAAAUCAGGAUCAGUGCCCCUAAAACUCAAGGGGGUAUUCCCCACUUGACGAUUAUCUUCAUAUCUCACUAUAGAAAUUGAAAAUUAAUAUUCCGUCGACUCAUACAAGCCAGUUGGACACGUGGCAAGCCUAUGAUGAAAUGUGUCCCGUCGCGUCACGCGACGCCCCCCGGGUGACCCCUCGCGUCACGCGAGGAGGUCAAAUUCUCAGUAUAAAUAGAGGGCAUUGGGACUUGAAUUUUGGCGUUGGAACGACAAACAAACUCGUUAUAUACACUGAGUUAUAGCCAUUUUACUACCAAACACACACAACCCCGAAACGCUGCUACGAUACCGGGUAUUAACUCAAUCGCUGCUACGAUUUAAUGUCCGAUCGAUUGAAACUAUCCGAUGAAUGUUUAAGUGCUACUCAAAUUGGGUUUAUAUUUUGUCAUUAGUCGUGAUUUCGACUUGAAUGUUUGAGUACCACCCAAACUCGGAGUGUACUCUGUCAUUCGUUGCGAAUCCGAUGGAUGUUUCAGUAUUGCACUUUGUCAUUUAUUGUGAGGGUCAUCAGGCUUAUCCGUAGGCUAAACUCUACCCCAAACACUUACAAUCAAAGUAGAUGCUAAUUCUUAGAAGAGCUUGAAUCAGGAAACCUGUUAAAUCAAUACUGCAUGCUUAUAAUGUGAGUCAUUCUCUUUUUAUCAACUGUUUUACAAAACUCCAAGUUAUUUUCAAAGUUAUAAUUACAGGGAUUAAGUCUAUGUAAUCACCAAAUUACAGCCGGUAUAUGGGGUUUUGUAUACAUUACUUGAUAACCGUCACCAUUGGACAACGGGUUAGCCAAGGGGUGAUAUGACCAUAGUCACAGACACCAUCGGGCAAUGAGGCUACCGAUGGCUGGUCGAGUGACAAAUACUGUAUGUAGUUGGUUGAUAUCAGAAACAUUGUAAUCGCUCUUAAUACUGUGAAUUAUAACAAAUGUGUCGUUUUCGGUAAAAUGAAUGAUUCACUCAGUAUUUCCCGCUGACAAAACCUUUUUAAAACGCGUUUCAGGUAAUUACAGUAGAUUGGAGUAAGAAUUGGAUCCGGCACUGAAGGUCUUCAAGAAGUGGCUUAUUUUAUUAAUUGAAUCAAAUUAAGAAAUCUUGUUUUAUAAAAUCAAAUUUAUUUAUAUUAAAGCUACCAUUGUAAAACAUGGGUUUUAUCCCAUCUAUUUAAUAAAUAAAAUCCGGUGUUUUUAAACUCUGAUAUUUUUCCUAACUCACGGUCCUGAUGAAAUUUCCGCUGCAAUGUUUU